UCUACGGGUGGCAGCAGUGGGGAAUAUUGCGCAAUGGGCGAAAGCCUGACGCAGCGACGCCGCGUGAGGGAAGACUGCCCUAUGGGUUGUAAACCUCUUUUGUCAGGGAGCAAUUGGCGCUACGUGUAGCGUUAUCGAGAGUACCUGAAGAAAAAGCAUCGGCUAACUCCGUGCCAGCAGCCGCGGUAAUACGGAGGAUGCGAGCGUUAUCCGGAUUUAUUGGGUUUAAGGGGUGCGUAGGCGGAAUGCCAAGUCAGCGGUAAAAUCGCGGGGCUCAACCUCGCUCCGCCGUUGAAACUGGCGUUCUUGAGUGGGCGAGAAGUAUGCGGAAUGCGUGGUGUAGCGGUGAAAUGCAUAGAUAUCACGCAGAACUCCGAUUGCGAAGGCAGCAUACCGGCGCCCAACUGACGCUGAAGCACGAAAGCGUGGGUAUCGAACAGGAUUAGAUACCCGGGUAGUC
rnacentral:rRNA from 1 species